UCACGUGACCAUAAAUGUUGAAAUGUUUAGCUUAUGUCUACAUAUUUCCAUAUCUUGGUCAUUUCAGAAUAUUUCACAAGUUGAUCCCGACAGUCUGGUGGCUUUGGGUGGUUCAAGUGCCGAAGGUGUGUUACUAGACAUGAUUAAGACUGCCUCAAGCAUGAUUGGCCAGAUAUCACCCGAAGAGCUUUAGAAGAUGACCCAACUGGCUACCUCAUUUCAAGGAGGCACAAUUUAGAAGGGAAGGGGUUUUGAUGCAAUAUGCCAGCUAAAGCUUGUGUAUCCGAUUUUCCUUGUUUACUUCAUGGUGAUGGUCGAGCUGCCAACAGCACGUUCAUCGUUUUAAGUUUGCUUUUUGAGGAACUUCAGGAAAGAACCGGCUGCAUGUGCAUAUGUUGAUAAAGCAAAUCCGCCAAAUGAUGUCGAAUAUGACUGCAAGAUUGAUGAAUCAUGAAUGGAGUACUUGAAGAUGUUUGAGGGUGUGGUGUGAUUAAAUGGCCAAAAGCUAACAUAACUCCAGGAGCAGAGUGACCAAAUUAGAGUGGAUAGGUGAUAGUAGAUUGAAUUCAGUUUUAGUGUUCAAUAUGUGAUUUCGGGUAGCCAGAAUUUAUUUUUAAA